GACUCUGGUUAUGACCCUAUAUGGAGUUGUUUACUCCAGCCCUGCAGGGGCCCAGUGCCAUCUUGGAAUGGCGGCCACAACUCAUGGCUCCCUGCAAAUUAAAGUACCAAAUAGGUUGUUUUUAUUUAUAUUUUGUUUGCCAUUUUUGUGUUAAGAAUGCUGCCAAGCCAGGGGUGGUGGCACAUGCCUCAGAAGGCAGAGGCAGGCAGAUCUCUGAGUUUGAGGCCAGCCUGGUUUACAUAGUGAGUUCUAGGACAGCCAGAGCUAUGUAAAGAAAUCCUGUCUCAAAAAACUUACUUAGAAAAAGAACUAUGCUGAUUGGAAUAUGAAAAAAAUUGAUACAUUAAUGUAGUGGGCUGCUCUUUUCGUUUAAAUAUUUUUGUUAAUAAAUUGGUGGUUUAUUUGUGAAAUUUCUUUUGGAGGAAGCACACACUUAAAACCUCAGCUUUUCAGCACCACUGUUAUCAAAGGACAAGGAUGCUGCUAUCACCAUUGCUGUUUGACUUUAGCUACACUAACAAUGUAAAGAGCAGGAAAAUUGUCUGCUUGAUUAUAAAAGAUGUAUGUAAGGUUCAUAGUUUUUCUACAUGUGCUCUAACCUUGCCACCCCUGGGUAAUUAGAAGUGAGGUUGAGGAAGACUGGUGAGAUGGUGGCUCAGUGGGUCAAGUCACUUACUGCUGAGUCACUUACUGCCUGAGUCCAGUCCCUGGGGCCUACACAGUGGAAGGAAAGAACCGGUUGCUGCAACCCCCUCUAAGUAAAUGCAAUUAAAAUUAAAAUGCCACCCAAUAGAUGACUAAAACUGAAGAUGCCAAACAACUCAAGAGUAACUUGUUAAGAUGACUAUAAAGAGCAUCUGGGAGAAGAAACAGGAAGAAUAGAAUUAUGGGACUAAAGGUGAGCUUGGGGCUCAUUGAUUCUGUGCUGGCAACUCUCUAGAUUUAUGUAGAACUAUUUCUGUAUAUAUAUAUAUAUAUAUAUAUUUUUUUAUGUGUAUGUUUGCCUGCAUGCAUGUAUAUGUGCUGUGUUGGGUGUCUAGUGCUCACAGAAGUCAGGAGGAGUUGGAUCCCCUAAUUACAGAUAAUCUGUGAACCAUUUGGGUACUGGGAAUUGAACCCAUGUCUACUGCAAGAGCAACAAGAACUGUUAGCCACUGAGCCAUCUCUGCAAGCCCCAAUUUAUGUUAGAAUUUUAAAGGAUAACUUGAGCCAUAGAACAUACAAUGGAAAGAAAAUCAAAAAUCCAUGUAACCCAUAAGUGAAUGUGAAUGAGUUUAUGUAUAAAUUAGAGGUCUUGUGUGAGAAGAUACUCAGAUACAAGGCAAACACAAACUUAAAAGCAAACUAGAGGCAGUUCUUUCAUGGAGAUCUUUGGAUGAUCCUUGCCUUGGUGACCUCAAAGGCAGUUGAGGUGCCCUCCUUCUGGUCUGUCUUUUGCUGAUAAUUAUUGGUUCUUUAGCUUCUGUUUUUAUGGCCUAUCUCUUAUGCCACCACUCAGGAAUGCUUCACUAGUGGACCAUCCAUGACUGUUCCUGUCUAGAACCUCCAGCAGAUUUUGUUACAGUCUUCUGAACAUCACAUUGACUGUUGGAAGUAGAACUGUUUCCGUAAGGAAAGAAUUGGAUAGUAGAAUCAUGGAAGCAGGGGACAGGCUACUGUAUACUGUAGAAGGGAGAAUAUAUGCCCGGUAGCUGAGAAAAAGAUGGAAUAUUCUGUAUGGGGUAGUAGACACUUAGCUUGGAAAUGUGAGAGAUUGUACAUUGUUGUGACAACAUGUCGGGAGGUCUCUGUCUGGGUAUGGCUUGGACCAUGCUUUUGUCCAGUGUGUCCACACUGUGCUUACUACUCAGAUAACCACUUAGCUGUCAUAUCAAAUGUCUGGGUUACUGAUUCUUAGGGCAGCCCUAAGUACCCUUUAUUUUACUUAGAAAUAUCCACAGAAUGUAAAGGAGUGAUGUGGGCAAUUUGUAUGUGCUGAAGAGAAGCCAUAAAGUGAAAAGAUAAAAAGCAUGACAGAUUUUGUUUUCUGUUCAGGAAUUGAACUGAGGGGCUUAAACAUGUUAUGAAGACAUUCUACUGCUAAGCUAUAUUUCAGCCUUAAAGAAUUAAAAACAUUUUUUUUCUUAAAUAAGGCUGUCUGUCUGCACUUGGGAAGCAGAGACAGGCAGACCUUGUGAAUUCAAGGACAGCCAGAGCUACAUAACAGAGAGACCCUGUGUCAAAAAACAAAACGAGACAAAAAAGGACUGUCUCCUGACUGACCUUAAGCUCAAGACUCCUCUGCCUCUGCCUCCUGAAUUUUGGGAUUGUAGGUAUAUGCCACCAUGCCCAGCUAAGUGAAGAAAACUUGUGUUACUAUAAUUAUUCUAUUGUAUUCUUUUAUUGUGCCUAAUUUGUAACUUGCUUUAUCAUGGGUGUAUGUAUCUAAGGCAAAACUUGGCAUAUGCACUUGCCCAUGGUUUCAGGUAUCUGCUGGGGUCUUAGAAUGGAUCCAUGGAUGGAUGAGUACACUAUUAUAUUUACCUGUCCUUCACAAUAAUCCCAAAUGAGUGUUAGUUGAAAGAAGAAAGAGUAAUUAGAAGAGAGUAUAGUUUAAAAUUUAUAUUUAGCUUUGCAUAGUUCAUAACAAAAUUAGUGGAAGGUACAGAGAUUUCCUAUAUAACCCUGGCCUGGCCCCUCCUGAGUCCCUACCAUGACAUUCUGCAUGGUUCAGUCAGUGAAUCUGCAUUGACAUGCUAGCAAGUGGUCUGUGAUGUGUAUCAGUGUUUGCUGGGAACUUUUCAUAGUCUAUAAAUGAUGAUUCCACUGUUUCAGUAUCACAAGAAUUGUUUUCAUUGCCCCAAAAUUCUUUGUUAUGUCUUUCCACCCUUGGCAGCCACUGGUCCUUCUUUCCCUGUCUUCAGCUUGACUUUUCCCAAGAUUCUCAGAGCUGGAGUCAUACGGUAGGCAGCCUUUCAGUUUGGCUUCUUUGCAGUGCUGUUGACUCUGCCCUGUAUGGAUGUACUAGACUGUACAGCUCAUUUGCUGAAAGACAUGCUGCUGCUUCCACGGAAAGCCUGCUGGGUCUGUCCUGGUGUUGGCUUUGGUGAGCAUGUUUUUAGCUCCUGAUUUCUGGAUUCUAUGCUUUGAGCAUGUCUGUCUUUUAAUUAAUUGCUUAUCUACCUACUUAUUUAAAGGCAGAUUCUCACUGUGUAGCCCUAACCUGGAGCUCGUAGAGAACCACUGGCCUCUGCUGGGAUUAAAGGCACACUCUAUCACUCCUGGCUCAGAGUAGUCUAGCCUACAGAUAGUAAAAAGGACUUACCUGUAUACUUACAUAAGUGGCUCUUCCAGUCUAGAUAUUUUUCUAGAUAUGUGAGUCCAGGUCUACCCCAGUUAUCUGUUAACUAUAGAUCAGCAGCAAAAUACAGAGCCAGAAAAGGGAGCCUAGCUCAGACUCCAUUUAAAUGAGCCCCGGUCCUGUAGAUCACUAUCUGCCUGACAAAAUUCUAGUUUUGUCAACCUUCUGGUUUUCUGGAGACAGGCCAUGUUUAUUCUAAUUGUUCUGUAAUUAAUAGCAUUUGUUCUCUUAUUCUCAGAGUCUUGUUGUAGACAAUGAGUGAUACAGUAACCCUAGCUACAGGUUUUUAAGUGGUUACCUACUAAAUGCUAGCCAAGCAUACCAGACCUCUGUGGAAGUGGGGGUGGUCUUGAAGAAUGUAGGCAAUUCUCCCUCCUUUUUUCAUCCUUCAGUGUUUUCUUCUUUCAUCUUUGGCUCAUUAGCUGGCAAGGACUUGUACAGUAAAUGCGUUCAGUUCAGCCAUAUAAGUAUUAGAACCACUUUGAUAAUAGCUGACUUUGGGGACUUUAUAUUUGCAAUUACAAGUGUUGGAUUCCUCUAACUUUUUUAUGUUCAGUUUUUCAGGUUGUCUUGAUUAGAAAAGCCUGUUUGCAAUAACCCUACUCAGCUCACAACUAGAGAGAAUCAAGUUUCCCAGCCCACUCAAUUUGAAAGCCUGCCAAGAUAGGUGAAAGACCUUAUAAAUAUGUAAAGCAGGAAGUUCAAAUUACAGUCAAGCAAAUGCCUAAUGAUUGGUGUUCUUUUCAAAACAAAAACAAAAAAGAAGUGCAUUUUCUGGGCAUCCCGCUAGCACCAGCACCAAAGGGUGGUCUGGAGUUCAGACUCAAGUGUGUACUUUAGUGCUAUAUUUAUUUUGCAUUUUUACCACUUCCUGGAGGCCGGGUGGAAGGAUCCAAAAAACUGGACACCUCAGACGUUUUGCUUGUAAGGCGGAGCAGUAGAACUGGGCCGGCCAGGAAGGGGUUUGGAAGCCGUGUUGAACGGGAAAGCGGGGGAAGCUGAAUAUGGUUUCAACUUAAGUCAGGAUUCGGCUACUUAAUGCAGGACAGUGGUGCUCGUGGCUACGGGAGGCCCUGGGGGACGGCACACAGAGCACACUUGCAUGGACUUCUCUUCCAAAUGGCCGCGUCCACAUCCACAUUCCCCACCGACCGCAAGCGCGUGCCCAGAUGCUCGGAGGACGCGGCCGCUGCCAUUGUUGUGCUUGACACUUAAUCCCGAUCGCCCCGGGCGGCGGCGCUCUCUCGAGCGGUGUAAAAAGGCACAGUCUUGCAUUCUUUCCGAGCUUCGGGAGGUGGAGCCCGCCGCCUGCCAGAGCAAAGUUGCUAACCCCAGCCUCUCGCCGCCGCUCGCUCAGCAUCCUCCAGCUUGCUCCAUUCCCCCGAACGCCCUCGGAUCCUGCGGCUGCCCGCCCCACUCCACCGCCCUCCAUGGAGGAAAGUCUCACUUUUGAUUUACCAAAUAUUUUCAGGAUGUUUGAAGAUCCCUACGCUGCCCAGAGGCUGUUUUUCUGGACAACCCAGUCCCCAGCCUAUAUUGUUACACGUUUUGUUUUUUUUUUGUUUUUUUUGAGGACUGGUUGCUGCUUUGCCUACACUGAUGUGGCUCUAAUUAGAGGAAAUUGCAAAAACUGUGCAAUUUUCUGGCUCCCUCGACUGGCUGAUCAGCAGACUGGAAAGACUGUGGAAGCAUCCUCUGGUCCUUCACUGCAUGUUAGUGGAAAUCCCAGAAGCUCUGAAUAUCAUCAAGGAAGGGCAUAUCAAAUCCAUCAUCUCACUUUUAGACAAGCAUGGAAGAAAUCACAAGGUCCUGGAUGUGUUGUGUUCUCUCUGUGCUUGCCAUGGGGUUGCUCUCCGUUCUAACCAGCAUCUCAUCUGUGACAAUCUCGUGCCAGGACGAGAUCUCUUACUGCAGACCCGUCUUGUGAAUCAUGUCAGCAGGUAGUUUGAUAUCUGGCUGGCUGUGUGCUGCAGAGCUGUCAGAUGCUGGUGUCUAAGGGUUACCCAGACAUUGGGUGGAAUCCAGUUGAAGGAGAGAGAUACCUCGACUUUCUCAGAUUUGCUGUCUUCUGUAACGGAGAGAGUGUAGAAAAGAAUGCAAUGUUGUGGUGAGGUUGCUCAUCCGGAGGCCCAAGUGCUUUGGUCCUGCCUUGAGAGGGGAAGAUGGCAAUGGUCUCAUUGCCGCCAUGGAAGAAGCCAUAAAAAUAGCUGAGGAUCCUUCUAGAGAUGGCCCUUCCCCAGCAAGUGGAUCCAGCAAAACCCUGUAGGUCUACACCUCAGAAAAUGAUGUCACCUCACCAAAGCUGACAACAUGCAUUGAAGCACGAUACGUUAUGUGGGACUGGUUCUCCUCCCAGUGCAAGGUCCUAAGCUGGCUAAGUGACUCACCACAGAUGACUUGGAAAGAAGCAGGAUUCGAAUAGGAAGGGACUACUAGUGUUGGCCCUGCUUCUACAUCAGUCUGAGAGAGGGACUUAGACCCACUGCCUCCGGCCCUUUUCAGACCACGUUUCCCAGGAGUCCCUGCUUGCUUACCUGCUGUAAGUCAGAGUAUUGAGAAGACUGACAGGGCAUGCUAGCUGAGGGAGGGGUGUAACAACCUCCAUGCCAGAGGAACCUGCCUGAAGCAGGGGUGGUUGGGAUUAGCAGUGGCUUUGAUCAACAGGAACCAAGUCUUUAUCUGAUGACUCUUGAGUUUUGUUCACCUUCUGGAAGCAAGAAUGGCAUCUUUAUUACCCAGCCAGUUGGAGUGCCUUGCCAGCCCCUGGCGGCAUAACCCAAUUACAGGAUGGGUGUUUACCAUGUGCCCUCCAUGUUUGGGUGCUACGUUCAGUGAGAGCCCCUCACAUUGGAGCAGCUGACAUGUAGGGCUCAGCUCAGUCCCUGUGUCACCUUCAGCCCUGCUUACUUACACUUAGCUGUGCCCACACACUCAGCCAGCGUGUGCUCCGGGUAACAUCCUUCUCGAUGACGGAGAAAUGCCUGCCUCUCGCUCUCUGAUGUGUCGCUAUGCUAACAUGAGACCCUCCGGGGUUGCUUCCUCACACCGAUGGCUGUUAGGGCCUGUACACAGGCUGAACUUAUCUCUCCUGCAUUGGAGAAACCUGAACACUCGUAGCCUUCAGACUUACUAUCUUCUCAGAGGCCCAUCUGCCUUUUAUAGGAAAAAAAUUAUUCCACCUUGUAUCAUAAACUGCCAGAACAUUUUAGUCUUUCAUUACCAUGGAAAGCUGCUGGGAGGACUUAGCCCUAAGACCAAAAUCUGGUGUCAGAUAAUAGCCAUAGUUUGCCACAUUUUCAUACCACUGAAGGCUGAAUGUUUUUAAGGGGCCUUUUCUCAGCCCUUCUUCCUGGUUUGUAAAUGUCUGUGUACAGGGAAGAGUAUGGCACAUAGGAGCGGGUGGUGUGUGGACAAGCCAUCCUCCUGCCCCCAUGGACCUAGAUUCAUUUUCUGAUUCUUCUCUCAUCUUACAGGUAAAACCAGGCUAAAGCAUCCUAUAAUCAGUUAUUGCCUGGGGAGUGGGAGGGACUUUAGGGGCAGUAGCCUUUUAUAUGCAAGUUUCUUAAGUUACUUUGUAUGCUUUGUUUUGGAAGAAGUGAGACUUGAAGAUGGUGUUUCUGAGAUAAAGUCUCUUCCCUAGCAGUUGACAGGCUCGCCCAGGGCCUCCCAUGAGUCUGGCCACCCAGCUUAGGCCUCAGCUGGCAGCUCUGUUCAGACACCAACUGCCAUUUAAACCCUUGUGCUGGAGAGUACCUUGCAGAUUCUGCAUCCUCAUGGCUGUUCUAGUUGUUUCUUUUUGUCUUUUUUUGCAUCUCUAGUCCAGAGACCUAGCUGUCAUCCUCAUCCAGGGAGCCCUCCUCUUCCUCCUGACAACGCGGCUCUACCAUCGCAAUGCUGGUUGUUGCUAAGGUUGCCUCCAUGGUAACAUGCUCAUCCUGUUUACACUUUUAUAUGGGCAAGUAGUCUAAGCUAGGAACUUAUCUACUCUGUGUAGGCAUUUCGGUAGAAUUGGGAUGGGCCAGGUGUUCUGGCACUCGGGAGUCACAGAACACUGAGUGUUACACAGAUCAGGUGGAA